rnacentral:rRNA from 1 species
AUUGAACGCUGGCGGCAUGCCUUACACAUGCAAGUCGAACGGCAGCAUGGGUGCUUGCACCUGAUGGCGAGUGGCGAACGGGUGAGUAAUACAUCGGAACGUACCCGGAAGUGGGGGAUAACGUAGCGAAAGUUACGCUAAUACCGCAUAUUCUGUGAGCAGGAAAGAGGGGGAUCGCAAGACCUCUUGCUUUCGGAGCGGCCGAUGUCGGAUUAGCUAGUUGGUGAGGUAAAGGCUCACCAAGGCGACGAGCCGUAGCGGGUCUGAGAGGAUGAUCCGCCACACUGGGACUGAGACACGGCCCAGACUCCUACGGGAGGCAGCAGUGGGGAAUUUUGGACAAUGGGAGCAAGCCUGAUCCAGCCAUGCCGCGUGAGUGAAGAAGGCCUUCGGGUUGUAAAGCUCUUUCGGCGGGGAAGAAAUGGUUUCGGUUAAUACCUGGAGCUGAUGACGGUACCCGCAUAAGAAGCACCGGCUAACUACGUGCCAGCAGCCGCAGUAAAAC